UACGUAGGGGGCUAGCGUUGUCCGGAUUUAUUGGGCGUAAAGAGCUCGUAGGUGGUUCGGUAAGUCGGAUGUGAAAUCUCCAGGCUCAACCUGGAGGGGUCAUUCGAUACUGCCGUGACUAGAGUUCGGUAGAGGAGUGUGGAAUUCCUGGUGGAGCGGUGAAAUGCGCAGAGAUCAGGAGGAACACUCGUGGCGAAGGCGGCCAGCUAGACCAGUUCUGACACUGAGGCGCGACAGCGUGGGGAGCAAACAGG
rnacentral:rRNA from 1 species